AUUGAACGCUGGCGGCAGGCCUAACACAUGCAAGUCGAGCGGAUGAAGGGAGCUUGCUCCUGGAUUCAGCGGCGGACGGGUGAGUAAUGCCUAGGAAUCUGCCUGGUAGUGGGGGAUAACGUCCGGAAACGGGCGCUAAUACCGCAUACGUCCUGAGGGAGAAAGUGGGGGAUCUUCGGACCUCACGCUAUCAGAUGAGCCUAGGUCGGAUUAGCUAGUUGGUGGGGUAAAGGCCUACCAAGGCGACGAUCCGUAACUGGUCUGGGAGGAUGAUCAGUCACACUGGAACUGAGACACGGUCCAGACUCCUACGGGAGGCCGCAGUGGGGAAUAUUGGACGAUGGGCGAAAGCCUGAUCCAGCCAUGCCGCGUGUGUGAAGAAGGUCUUCGGCUUGUAAAGCACUUUAAGUUGGGAGGAAGGGCAGUAAGUUAAUACCUUGCUGUUUUGACGUUACCAACAGAAUAAGCACCGGCUAACUUCGUG
rnacentral:rRNA from 1 species